CUCCUCCGAUCGCUGGGAGACUUCAAAAAAAACAAGCAACUGUUAGAGGAUCAUUGUUUUAGUGAUGUCUAUAUUAAUGCGGAUGAAGAUGGAACCUUAUUUCAAGUUGGACUGUGUCCACUCUAGUUUACUAGCAUGUUGAUUUAUGGAUGGACCGUUUUGAAAAGCCUCACUGUCGCCAUCUGUCUGUUCAUAUGAAAUCCCUUACGUUUUCCAAAAGCCCUGUUUCCAGAGCUAAAAUGUAGUGCAAGUGUGAAUGUGGCCAAAACAUGAUGACAGCCGGCGUGUCCUCACAAGGAGCACAGUGGGUUUGGUCUCACCAAGAGCUCCACUCACAGCAGUGGGUGCAACUCUCCAACCUGUACCAGUUGACAUUUCUGUACAUAAUAGUUCACCAUAUUUUGUUAGUAAAGGUUUGAGUGACAAUUGUUUAUCCUGUUAAUUUCCUUUUUAGUGGGACAGCAUAGCAAAAGAAUUGUUCAUUUUGUGAUAAAAGCAUAGAACUUGGCGCACAUAUUCUAAAUUAAGCAAUGUUUAUUUUCAGAUGUGGAGCCAUCCUGGAGCUGACAUGAGCUAAUGAGCUGCAGGGGGUCAAAAAAGAAUUACAGAGGUCAAAAUUUUGAAGUACUCCAAUCAUAUUGAAAACUAUACCACAUUAUUUGUCUGAUCAUAAUGAUUCCAAAAAGGUAUAGUUUUGACUAUGACUGAAUGUUCUGG